UACGGAGGGUGCAAGCGUUAUCCGGAUUCACUGGGUUUAAAGGGUGCGUAGGAGGGCAGGUAAGUCAGUGGUGAAAUCUCCAAGCUUAACUUGGAAACUGCCGUUGAUACUAUCUGUCUUGAAUACCGUGGAGAUGAGCGGAAUAUGUCAUGUAGCGGUGAAAUGCUUAGAUAUGACAUAGAACACCAAUUGCGAAGGCAGCUCGUUACACGAAUAUUGACUCUGAGGCACGAAAGCGUGGGGAUCAAACAGGAUUAGAUACCCUGGUAGUCCACGCCCUAAACGAUGGAUACUCGACAUACGCGAUACACAGUGUGUGUCUGAGCGAAAGCAUUAAGUAUCCCACCUGGGAAGUACGACCGCAAGGUUGAA
rnacentral:rRNA from 1 species